rnacentral:rRNA from 1 species
AACGAACGCUGGCGGCGGGCCUCAUACAUGCAAGUCGAGCGCGAAAGUCCGCAAGGAUGAGUAAAGCGGCGCACGGGUGAGUAACACGUGGGUAAUCUACCUUUUGGAUUGGAAUAACCCUGUCGAAAGACGGGCUAAUGCCGAGUAAGCCUUCUUGAACGUGAAGUUCGAGACGGGAAAGAUGGCGCAAGCUAUCGCCCGAAAGAUGAGCCUGCGUCCCAUUAGUUAGUGGUGGGUAAUGGCUUACCAAGACAAUGAUGGGUACCUGGUUUGAGAGAAUGAAUCAGGCACACUGGAACUGAAACACGGUCCAGACUCCUAC